CUUCGGGGUGAGCGGCGGACGGGUGAGUAACGCGUGGGAACGUGCCCUUCUCUCCGGAAUAGCCCUGGGAAACUGGGAGUAAUGCCGGAUACGGCCUUCGGGCGAAAGAUUUAUCGGGGAAGGAUCGGCCCGCGUUGGAUUAGGUAGUUGGUGGGGUAAUGGCCUACCAAGCCGACGAUCCAUAGCUGGUUUGAGAGGAUGACCAGCCACACUGGGACUGAGACACGGCCCAGACUCCUACGGGAGGCAGCAGUGGGGAAUCUUGGACAAUGGGGGCAACCCUGAUCCAGCCAUGCCGCGUGGAUGAUGAAGGCCCUAGGG
rnacentral:rRNA from 1 species